GCUGGUGUAGCUCAAACGGUAGAGCAACUGACUUGUAAUCAGUAGGUUGAGGGUUCAAUUCCUUUCACCAGCU
rnacentral:tRNA from 1 species